rnacentral:rRNA from 1 species
UUGAACGCUGGCGGCAGGCCUAACACAUGCAAGUCGAACGGUAACAGGAAGCAGCUUGCUGCUUCGCUGACGAGUGGCGGACGGGUGAGUAAUGUCUGGGAAACUGCCUGAUGGAGGGGGAUAACUACUGGAAACGGUAGCUAAUACCGCAUAAUGUCGCAAGACCAAAGAGGGGGACCUUCGGGCCUCUUGCCAUCGGAUGUGCCCAGAUGGGAUUAGCUUGUUGGUGGGGUAACGGCUCACCAAGGCGACGAUCCCUAGCUGGUCUGAGAGGAUGACCAGCCACACUGGAACUGAGACACGGUCCAGACUCCUACGGGAGGCAGCAGUGGGGAAUAUUGCACAAUGGGCGCAAGCCUGAUGCAGCCAUGCCGCGUGUAUGAAGAAGGCCUUCGGGUUGUAAAGUACUUUCAGCGGGGAGGAAGGGAGUAAAGUUAAUAUCUUUGCUCAUUGACGUUACCCGCAGAAGAAGCACCGGCUAACUCCGUGCCAGCAGCCGCGGUAAUACGGAGGGUGCAAGCGUUAAUCGGAAUUACUGGGCGUAAAGCGCACGCAGGCGGUUUGUUAAGUCAGAUGUGAAAUCCCCGGGCUCAACCUGGGAACUGCAUCUGAUACUGGCAAGCUUGAGUCUCGUAGAGGGGGGUAGAAUUCCAGGUGUAGCGGUGAAAUGCGUAGAGAUCUGGAGGAAUACCGGUGGCGAAGGCGGCCCCCUGGACGAAGACUGACGCUCAGGUGCGAAAGCGUGGGGAACAAACAGGAUUAGAUACCCUGGUAGUCCACGCCGUAAACUAUGUCGACUUGGAGGUUGUGCCCUUGAGGCGUGGCUUCCGGAGCUAACGCGUUAAGUCGACCGCCUGGGGAGUACGGCCGCAAGGUUAAAACUCAAAUGAAUUGACGGGGGCCCGCACAAGCGGUGGAGCAUGUGGUUUAAUUCGAUGCAACGCGAAGAACCUUACCUGGUCUUGACAUCCACGGAAGUUUUCAGAGAUGAGAAUGUGCCUUCGGGAACCGUGAGACAGGUGCUGCAUGGCUGUCGUCAGCUCGUGUUGUGAAAUGUUGGGUUAAGUCCCGCAACGAGCGCAACCCUUAUCCUUUGUUGCCAGCGGUCCGGCCGGGAACUCAAAGGAGACUGCCAGUGAUAAACUGGAGGAAGGUGGGGAUGACGUCAAGUCAUCAUGGCCCUUACGACCAGGGCUACACACGUGCUACAAUGGCGCAUACAAAGAGAAGCGACCUCGCGAGAGCAAGCGGACCUCAUAAAGUGCGUCGUAGUCCGGAUUGGAGUCUGCAACUCGACUCCAUGAAGUCGGAAUCGCUAGUAAUCGUGGAUCAGAAUGCCACGGUGAAUACGUUCCCGGGCCUUGUACACACCGCCCGUCACACCAUGGGAGUGGGUUGCAAAAGAAGUAGGUAGCUUAACCUUCGGGAGGGCGCUUACCACUUUGUGAUUCAUGACUGGGGUG